ensembl:lncRNA
GUAAGUUGAUAAAGUGUAAUCUGAUUAAGAACAUGAGCACUCACAGUCCAGAAAUCUUUCUCAGUGCAUCACUUUGUUCCCUCUACUGCAAACUUAAAGCCAAGUGCAACACAGUGCUGCAGCACUUGGUCUGGAGCAUGUGAUGAAGUAAACCCUGUGAACCCACUUACAGCUUGCUGAGUUUUAUGUUGUCCUCCAGCGUUUUGUUUCCACAUUUUACUUCUUCAUUUUUGGAGUGGAAAACAGCUCUGAAAGCACUUUUCAAGAAAGCAACGUCAAUGAAAAGCCCAACUGUUUCCAAACAGGUUGCAAACACCAGUCGUCUUCUUUGAAGAGAACUGGGAACUGAAAUCAGGGUCAAAGGAUGCUGAAUAACAUCUUUGUGCUGAGCAGAGAGAUGAAAGGGAAGAUAUUUUCUUUAUGUUUUGAUGUCAAUUAACUCAGCUGCUUUCCAUGUCUGCUUUUCCUUUUCAGGCCACUCUAACCUUUCUUCUCUCCUUAAUAUAAGGGCUAUAUUUCUGUCUCCUAAUGAAUAGCUGCAGCAACAGCAGAUGGCCUGAUGAUGUGGUUUGGGUUCUGUGCUUGAGGAUCCACUCUGUGCUUUGGAAACAGCUGAAUUUUGACAGCCAUUUGGACACCAUGGUCUGAGGGAACCAGUGAACCAUAUAAAAGCACAGCAUCCCCUAAUUUAGCAGUUAAAAUCGUGGGAACAGGAAACACUGCUGAAGUAGCAACUGGAGAUAAAGAUAUGCUUUCAGGAAGUACCCCACUGGAGGGUACAUUCUUGGCUUUUUUUUUUUUUUUUUUGGUCACCACCACAGCUCAGGAAAGCAGGAUUAGAUGAAAUAGUCUGCCCUAGGGAAGCCCGAGCAGCUCUUGCUGUGGCAUACUGUCAGUUGUGUUGGUGUGGCACCUAAUGAGGAAAUAAUUGCAUGUAUCCUGGUGUCCAGAAAUAGUCUCUGAUGGGGUUGUCACAUGGCAAAUCAGCCUGUAGCUGCUGGGACAUCAGUCCAGAUGUGAAGAAGCUGUGUUGGUUCCAGCAGCUAACUUUACAAAUAAAUGUAGCAAAAAUGGUCUUGGGAGGACAAGGUUUUUGUUGGCUCUGCUAAACCUAAAGGCAUCCCUGUAGGCAGGUCAGGCUUAGCCAUCAUUAUGGCAACCUUGGGUCUGACCCAAAGCCUAUGAAGUCAAAGAGAAUCUAUCCAGUGAUUCCAGCAAGGCUUGGAUCUGUCGCACUGGGGACAGAACAGAAAAUUGUUUUCCUCCAGUUCUCCCCCGUAGAACAAUUUUGGAGCUCUUGCGUCUUUCAUUUUUCUCUUUCCAGACCCUCUGUCUCUCUUGCCCUCUAAUAUUAUUUCUCUCUCUCUUCUUUGGCAGCAAACUGCUCUGGAAAAGUCAGAGGAGAAACAUGAUCAGGCUGUUUUCUUCACUCGCAUGCCGCCCUCGGCAUUGUCUCGGGCAAUGUCCAGGCCCAAGUCACUGCAGAUGUCCAACCAAAGUCCGUCAUUAGAGGCCAGUUGCAUAUUAUCACCUCUCGGGAUGCGGAACUUGCACUGCUGAGCAAUGCCACCCUUUGUCCUUCCCAUGCUUUCCUCUGCAUCUGAUACACAGAGCUGCAUCUGGAACUAUUUGCUGGGGUUUAGAUAUUUUCUUAUUGUGCUGUGCCAUAGCUCAAAUCCGGUAGUAGCUCUUGUGCUUCCUUUCUGAGUGCCACUGAACCUUACCUGUGUUUUGCCCAUGUAUUACCAUGGUUUCUACCUGGAUAAAGGAACAGGGAAUCUGCCAGGAGGUCUAAUGCAAGAAUCCCUCCUGUAGAUGAGUGACUCAGAGUCACUGUCUUUAGCAUCCCUGCAACAAACCCUCCACCAGCAUUUCCUGCUCCUUACCUACCUAUAGGAAAGAUGAGACAACAAAUGCAAAAAGUAGGGGCUCAACUAAGUUACCUAUACAAGGGAAUCUUGUGUUAUUGGAGAUGCCUUAGACACAACUUCAACAUAGUAUGGCAGAUAUGACACAAGAUCUGUCUCCUCCCAGAGCAGUACUGGGCACCCACAUAAGGUAUCCAAAGGUAUUGAAUGACCUGUGUGUAGGCAGCUGAGUUCUCUCAAGGCUGCACAUAGAUCCUGUGCUAGUGCAGGAAACUGCACCUCAAUAUAAUAAGUUACAGCCCUUUGUUAUCAUUUUUACAUGAUUACACUUCAUGCAGCCAAAUCAGAGCUGUCCUUGAGAACAACCAGAAUGUCCUUUAUCCAAAUCCAGAUAUCCUAUUUUGUUUAUGAUACCAAAUUCAAUGGUACAUGGAACAGAGUAAUCUCUAAAAAAAGAUAAAUGCAGGUAAACGAUGGCUGGAAGAAGUCUGGGAUAAUCAAGCACCAGGCCAUAUCCCCUCUGAGGUUCAGCAACUGGAUUUCUACAUUUGUUAUAAGAAACAGAGUGCUAUUCCCUUACAGUCACAACAACAGCAGGACAACCAUAUGAGACUGAUUAUGUUACAAUGAGCCCUGCAAUGAAAGACAUUUCACUUCAUCUGUGGCUCCAGAGCAGACUUUCUGGAUGAAAUGAGAAAGCUGUCAUGGUCUGGAAACCAAGACAAUGAACUGGGACUCAGGAGACUAGAAUGGAUAUCUGGCUCAUAAGAUAUGACCAGAAGGGAGAAUUAAAUCUUAUUAUCCGAUAUGGAAAUCAUGGCUUAAAAAUUUAAACGGUCACCCUUCUCCUGAAUCCAAUAACAGCUGUUCACCUUGGGAACUUUUGUCAUAAAGUCAUUCAGUCCCAAAACAGGAGAGCCUCGUAGAUUGCUCCAGUGGUAAAUCACCAUCACUUCUUAAUUCUCAGCUAAAUUAAUAUAGCUUCAUAUUCCAAAGUUUGGAUUUAUUAGAUCCUUUUCUGCUAGGUAGAAGGAGUCUGUAAGUCCUGCAUGUUUUUUUGUUAGAAUACUUACACAUAAGCUUAGCAGUAUGCGAUUCUGAAUAAUAAAUGCCAAUUUUACACUCUUUCCUCAGUUACAAAUGAAUACAUCUCUCUUCUUUGUCUUUCUCACAGGCACUCUGUGGGGCUGCAACAUAUAGAAUAUCUGAAAUAGCUCUGGCAUAUAUGACAAAGGACCUACAAACCUCAGGUCUUCUGGGCUGGCAGCUGCAAUCCAAGCAGGGUACCUUGGGUCCUUUCAGAUGGCACCAGGCACCUCUGCUUAAGUAACAGACCUCCCUCUCUUAACUCACAUUGCAGACAUGGACAUUGUGGCUACUUUUUUUAUUAUUAUUAUUUUUUAAUAAUUUAUUUCAAAUAUGAGAAUCUGGAGCUAAAUGCAGCCUGAGGUGUCACUGUGAGAAGCUCAGCAUUGACUCUGUGCCCUUACUUGAUCUCUGGCCUUGUUUCUUGUGUACUUCUAGAAGGGAUGCCAAGCAGUGAGCAAAUGUUCUAAAAUAAUAUUCCUACCUGUCAAAAACAGCACUUCUGAGAUGUCAUUUUAAAUAGUAAAGGAUUCUUGAAAUGAAAAAGUCCAUGUCUUCCUGAAUAAAAUCAACAACUAGAACAACUCUGUCACCAGAGACCCAUGAGUGAAGCUUUCUUUCACUUUGGAUUUUAAAGACAGUAAAUUUAUGGUCGUACUUCACUACAACAGAACAUUAGAAGAAUAUUACAUUUGUUCUGGCCCAGUGCUGAAGCAUGAUGUCACUUUAAUAAAAUCAUGGUUUGCUGAUGUCCUGGAAUCUCUAAGAUUGUUUAUAGUUCCCAGAUGAUAUUCCCUGCAAAGGUGUUUUCUGUUUCAUUUUGGUCUGGUUUUGUUUUCAGUUUGGACUUUUCACAUUCUAGAGGCAUGCUUUUUAAAAUGAAAAAGGUAUUAUAUUCUCAAACUCAGAAGAAACCCUUUGUUUAGCAAAUACCCCUUGAUCAGGACCUUGCAUAACAAUGAACAUGUUGAGUGGAUCCAUAGAAAACUAUAUAAGUCUGAGGCUAAAUAUAUCCAUGCUGGAAUAAAUAACACUUGAUGAUUGUUUGGGCUCAUUAGCAGGUAGAAGAGUAACCCAAUGGGAAAUUUAUCUUUUUCAAGCAUUGUUUCCCUCAUCAG